CCCUUAGACGUUCUGGGCCGCACGCGCGCUACACUGACCAGUGCAACAAGCAUCCGUCCUUGGCCGACAGGCCCGGGCAAUCUUUGAACGCUGGUCGUGAUGGGGAUAGACUUUUGCAAUUUUUGGUCUUCAACGAGGAAUUCCUAGUAAACGCAAGUCAUCAACUUGCAUUGAUUACGUCCCUGCCCUUUGUACACACCGCCCGUCGCACCUACCGAUUGAAUGGUCCGGUGAAGCCUCCGGAUUGGCGCGCACCUCGGUGCCGCCGAGAAGUUGGCUAAACCUUACCAUUUAGAGGAAGGUGAAGUCGUAACC
rnacentral:rRNA from 1 species